AUUGAACGCUGGCGGCAGGCUUAACACAUGCAAGUCGAGCGGGGGAGGUUGCUUCGGUAACUGACCUAGCGGCGGACGGGUGAGUAAUACUUAGGAAUCUGCCUAUUAAUGGGGGACAACAUCUCGAAAGGGAUGCUAAUACCGCAUACGCCCUACGGGGGAAAGCAGGGGAUCACUGGUGACCUUGCGUUAAUAGAUGAGCCUAAGUCGGAUUAGCUAGUUGGUGGGGUAAAGGCCUACCAAGGCGACGAUCUGUAGCGGGUCUGAGAGGAUGAUCCGCCACACUGGGACUGAGACACGGCCCAGACUCCUACGGGAGGCAGCAGUGGGGAAUAUUGGACAAUGGGGGGAACCCUGAUCCAGCCAUGCCGCGUGUGUGAAGAAGGCCUUAUGGUUGUAAAGCACUUUAAGCGAGGAGGAGGCUCUUUUGGUUAAUACCCAAGAUGAGUGGACGUUACUCGCAGAAUAAGCACCGGCUAACUCUGUGCCAGCCGCCGCGGUAACAC
rnacentral:rRNA from 1 species